AACGAACGCUGGCGGCAUGCCUAACACAUGCAAGUCGAACGAUUGCCUUCGGGUGAUAGUGGCGCACGGGUGCGUAACGCGUGGGUAUCUGCCCUUAGGUUCGGAAUAACAGCUGGAAACGGCUGCUAAUACCGGAUGAUAUCGCGAGAUCAAAGAUUUAUCGCCUGAGGAUGAGCCCGCGUUGGAUUAGGUAGUUGGUGGGGUAAAGGCCUACCAAGCCGACGAUCCAUAGCUGGUCUGAGAGGAUGAUCAGCCACACUGGGACUGAGACACGGCCCAGACUCCUACGGGAGGCAGCAGUGGGGAAUAUUGGACAAUGGGCGCAAGCCUGAUCCAGCAAUGCCGCGUGAGUGAUGAAGGCCCUAGGGUUGUAAAGCUCUUUUACCCGGGAAGAUAAUGACUGUACCGGGAGAAUAAGCCCCGGCUAACUCCGUG
rnacentral:rRNA from 1 species